rnacentral:rRNA from 1 species
AUGAACGCUAGCGACAGGCCUAACACAUGCAAGUCGAGGGGCAGCACAAGGAGCAAUCUGAGGUGGCGACCGGCGCACGGGUGAGUAACACGUAUGCAACCUGCCUGUAAGCGGGGAAUAACCCGUUGAAAGACGGACUAAUACCGCAUAAUACUAAAUUACUGCAUGGUAAUUUAUUUAAACAUUUAUGGCUUACAGAUGGGCAUGCGCGUGAUUAGCUAGUUGGAGAGGUAACGGCUCCCCAAGGCAACGAUCAUUAGGGGUUCUGAGAGGAAGGUCCCCCACACUGGUAUUGAGACACGGACCAGACUCCUACGGGAGGCAGCAGUGAGGAAUAUUGGUCAAUGGACGAGAGUCUGAACCAGCCAAGUCGCGUGCAGGAAGAAUGUUUCUAUGGAUUGUAAACUGCUUUUGCAGGGGAAUAAAGUGCAUCACGUGUGAUGUUUUGUAUGUACUCUGCGAAUAAGGAUCGGCUAACUCCGUGCCAGCCGCCGC